GAGUAACACGUGGGUAACCUGCCUGUAAGACUGGGAUAACUCCGGGAAACCGGAGCUAAUACCGGAUAGUUCCUUGAACCGCAUGGUUCAAGGAUGAAAGACGGUUUCGGCUGUCACUUACAGAUGGACCCGCGGCGCAUUAGCUAGUUGGUGGGGUAAUGGCUCACCAAGGCGACGAUGCGUAGCCGACCUGAGAGGGUGAUCGGCCACACUGGGACUGAGACACGGCCCAGACUCCUACGGGAGGCAGCAGUAGGGAAUCUUCCGCAAUGGACGAAAGUCUGACGGAGCAACGCCGCGUGAGUGAUGAAGGUUUUCGGAUCGUAAAGCUCUGUUGUUAGGGAAGAACAAGUGCGAGAGUAACUGCUCGCACCUUGACGGUACCUAACCAGAAAGCCACGGCUAACUACGUGCCAGCAGCCGCGGUAAUACGUAGGUGGCAAGCGUUGUCCGGAAUUAUUGGGCGUAAAGGGCUCGCAGGCGGUUUCUUAAGUCUGAUGUGAAAGCCCCCGGCUCAACCGGGGAGGGUCAUUGGAAACUGGGAAACUUGAGUGCAGAAGAGGAGAGUGGAAUUCCACGUGUAGCGGUGAAAUGCGUAGAGAUGUGGAGGAACACCAGUGGCGAAGGCGACUCUCUGGUCUGUAACUGACGCUGAGGAGCGAAAGCGUGGGGAGCGAACAGGAUUAGAUACCCUGGUAGUCCACGCCGUAAACGAUGAGUGCUAAGUGUUAGGGGGUUUCCGCCCCUUAGUGCUGCAGCUAACGCAUUAAGCACUCCGCCUGGGGAGUACGGUCGCAAGACUGAAACUCAAAGGAAUUGACGGGGGCCCGCACAAGCGGUGGAGCAUGUGGUUUAAUUCGAAGCAACGCGAAGAACCUUACCAGGUCUUGACAUCCUCUGACAACCCUAGAGAUAGGGCUUUCCCUUCGGGGACAGAGUGACAGGUGGUGCAUGGUUGUCGUCAGCUCGUGUCGUGAGAUGUUGGGUUAAGUCCCGCAACGAGCGCAACCCUUGAUCUUAGUUGCCAGCAUUCAGUUGGGCACUCUAAGGUGACUGCCGGUGACAAACCGGAGGAAGGUGGGGAUGACGUCAAAUCAUCAUGCCCCUUAUGACCUGGGCUACACACGUGCUACAAUGGACAGAACAAAGGGCUGCAAGACCGCAAGGUUUAGCCAAUCCCAUAAAUCUGUUCUCAGUUCGGAUCGCAGUCUGCAACUCGA
rnacentral:rRNA from 1 species